GCCUGCCCAGUGACUCUAUGUUCAACGGCCGCGGUAUCCUGACCGUGCCAAGGUAGCGCAAUCACUUGCCCUUUAAAUGGGGGCCUGUAUGAAUGGUGUAACGAGGGCUAAUCUGUCUCCUUUCCCUGGUCAAUGAAAUUGAUCUCCCCGUGCAGAAGCGGGGAUAAAUUCAUAAGACGAGAAGACCCUGUGGAGCUUUAGGUACUAAUAUUGACCCACUAAACAUAUUCAAAUAAAAGUAUUCAAGAAGGGAUGCGAUAAGAUUAUCUUUGGUUGGGGCGACCACGGAGAUUAAAAAAACCUCCAUGUGGACUAGGAAUAUGUAGACCUUUCUAAUUUUCAUUCCCACUAUCGAGAGUAACCACUCUAAACUGACAGAAUUUCUGACUUACUAUGAUCCGACAAAGUCGAUCAACGGACCAAGUUACCCCAGGGAUAACAGCGCAAUCCCCCUUAAGAGUUCAUAUCGACGGGGGGGUUUACGACCUCGAUGUUGGAUCAGGACAUCCUAUUGGCGCAGCAGCUAUUAAGGGUUCGUUUGUUCAACG
rnacentral:rRNA from 1 species